UCUGUACUUCCUCCGUCCGAAAAUAUUUGUCAUCAAAAUGGAUAAAAAGAGAUGUAUCUAGAACUAAAAUACAUCUAGAUACAUCCCCUUUUAUCCAGUUUGAAGACAACUAUUUUCGGACGGAGUGACUACUAA
rfam:Triticum aestivum genome assembly, contig: Triticum_aestivum_CS42_TGACv1_scaffold_405297_5BL